rnacentral:rRNA from 1 species
UUCUUAGUUGGUGGUUUGAACUGUCUGCUUAAUUGCGUUAACGAACGAGACCUCAGCCUACUAAAUAGUAUGUUGUUUAGUAAUAAAUGAUAUGACUUCUUAGAGGGACAUUUCGGGUUUACCGGAAGGAAGUUUGAGGCAAUAACAGGUCUGUGAUGCCCUUAGAUGUUCUGGGCCGCACGCGCGCUACACUGACGAGCUCAACAAGUAAUUUUGGUUGUCUGGAAGGAUUGCCUAAUCUUUUAAAUACUCGUCGUGAUGGGGCUAGAUUCUUGUAAUUAUUAAUCUCCAACGAGGAACC